rnacentral:rRNA from 1 species
CCUACGGGGGGCAGCAGUGAGGAAUAUUGGUCAAUGGACGAGAGUCUGAACCAGCCAAGUAGCGUGAAGGAUGACUGCCCUAUGGGUUGUAAACUUCUUUUAUAAAGGAAUAAAACGAGGCACGUGUGCCUUUUUGCAUGUACUUUAUGAAUAAGGAUCGACUAACUCCGUGCCAGCAGCCGCGGUAAUACGGAGGAUCCGAGCGUUAUCCGGAUUUAUUGGGUUUAAAGGGAGCGUAGAUGGGUUGUUAAGUCAGUUGUGAAAGUUUGCGGCUCAACCGUAAAAUUGCAAUUGAUACUGGGAGUCUUGAGUACAGUUGAGGUAGGCGGAAUUCGUGUUGUAGCGGUGAAAUGCUUAGAUAUAACGAAGAACCCCGAUUGCGAAGGCAGCUUACUAAACUGUGACUGACAUUGAUGCUCGAAAGUGUGGGUAUCAAACAGGAUUAGAUACCCGUGUAGGC